rnacentral:rRNA from 1 species
CAAAGUUUAACGGCCUCGGUACCCUAACCGAGCGAAGGUAGCAUAAUCACUUGUUCUUUAAAUAGGGACCUGUAUCAACGGCAUCACGAGGGUUGAACGUCUCCCCUUUUUAAUCAGUGAAUCUGACCUCUUCGUGAAGAAGCGAAGAUAUGAAUAUAAGACGAGAAGACCCCAUGGAGCUUCAAACAAAGUAACACCCUCUUCUACCCCUACCAUAAUAAACAAGAGCCCUGUUAACUAGCUUUUGGAUGGGGCAUCCAAGGAGUAUAAUCUAACCUCCCUGACAACUUAUCUCAGAGCUACUACUCUAAGAAACAGCAAACUGAUGUAAUAUGACCCGAUUAUCGAUCAACGAACCAAGUUACCCUGGGGAUAACAGCGCAAUCCAUUUCAAGAGUCCUUAUCGACAAAUGGGUUUACGACCUCGAUGUUGGAUCAGGGUACCCCAGUGGUGCAGCCGCUACUAAAGGUUCGUUUGUUCAACGAUUAAAACCCUACGUGAUCUG